GUGCCUAACACAUGCAAGUCGAGCGCGAAAGUGACCUUCGGGUGUGGGAGUAAAGCGGCGCACGGGUGAGUAACGCGUAGGUAACCUGCCCCUAAGUCCGGGAUAACCUUGCGAAAGCGAGGCUAAUACCGGAUAUAGCCUCUGAAGCUGUGGCUUUAGAGGUGAAAGGUGACCUCUCCAUGGAAGUUGCCGCUUAGGGAGGGGCCUGCGUCCUAUCAGCUAGUUGGUGGGGUAACGGCCCACCAAGGCUAUGACGGGUAGCUGGUCUGAGAGGACGGCCAGCCACACUGGCACUGAAACACGGCCCAGACUCCUACGGGAGGCAGCAGUGAGGAAUCUUGGGCAAUGGGCGAAAGCCUGACCCAGCGACGCCGCGUGGGGGAAGAAGGCCUUCGGGUCGUAAACCCCUGUCAGGAGGGAAGAAAGGGAUAGCCCCUAAUAAGGGUUAUCCUUGACAGUACCUCCAGAGGAAGCACCGGCUAACUCCGUGCCAGCAGCCGCGGUAAUACGGAGGGUGCGAGCGUUAUUCGGAAUUACUGGGCGUAAAGCGCACGUAGGCGGUGGGGCAAGCCAGGUGUGAAAGCCCUCGGCUUAACCGAGGAAGUGCAUCUGAAACUGCCCCACUAGAGUUCGGGAGAGGACGGCGGAAUUCCCGGUGUAGGGGUGAAAUCCGUAGAUAUCGGGAGGAACACCAGUGGCGAAGGCGGCUUCCUGGACCGAUACUGACGCUGAGGCGCGAAAGCGUGGGGAGCGAACAGGAUUAGA
rnacentral:rRNA from 1 species